rnacentral:rRNA from 1 species
UACGUAGGCGGUUUAUUAAGUCAGAUGUGAAAGCCCCGGGCUUAACCUGGGAACUGCAUUUGAUACUGGUAAACUAGAGUAUGGUAGAGGGGGGUAGAAUUCCUAGUGUAGCGGUGAAAUGCGUAGAUAUUAGGAGGAAUACCAGUGGCGAAGGCGGCCCCCUGGACCAAUACUGACGCUGAGGUACGAAAGCGUGGGUGGCGAACA